GACGAACGCUGGCGGCGUGCUUAACACAUGCAAGUCGAACGGAAAGGCCCUGCUUUUGUGGGGUGCUCGAGUGGCGAACGGGUGAGUAACACGUGAGUAACCUGCCCUUGACUUUGGGAUAACUUCAGGAAACUGGGGCUAAUACCGGAUAGGAGCUCCUGCUGCAUGGUGGGGGUUGGAAAGUUUCGGCGGUUGGGGAUGGACUCGCGGCUUAUCAGCUUGUUGGUGGGGUAGUGGCUUACCAAGGCUUUGACGGGUAGCCGGCCUGAGAGGGUGACCGGCCACAUUGGGACUGAGAUACGGCCCAGACUCCUGCGGGAGGCAGCAGUGGGGAAUAUUGCACAAUGGGCGGAAGCCUGAUGCAGCAACGCCGCGUGCGGGAUGACGGCCUUCGGGUUGUAAACCGCUUUCGCCUGUGACGAAGCGUGAGUGACGGUAAUGGGUAAAGAAGCACCGGCUAACUACG
rnacentral:rRNA from 1 species